GUGGGUAUGGCUCAGUGGUAGAGCACCAUGCACAAGAUCCUGGGUUCAAUCCCCAGUACCUCCA
rnacentral:tRNA from 1 species